rnacentral:rRNA from 1 species
UUGGAGGGCAAGUCUGGUGCCAGCAGCCGCGGUAAUUCCAGCUCCAAUAGCGUAUAUUAAAGUUGUUGCAGUUAAAAAGCUCGUAGUUGAAUUUCGGGAUUGACGUGAUGGUCGUGCCUUACGGGGUAUGAACUGUCGCAGUUGAUUUCUCACCUUCUGGAGAAGCUCGAUGUCCUUAAUUGGGUGUCUUGCGGAACCAGGACCUUUACCUUGAAAAAAUUAGAGUGUUUAAAGCAGGCAUUUUGCUCGAAUUCAUUAGCAUGGAAUAAUAGAAUAGGACGGCAUGGUUCUAUUUUGUUGGUUUCUAGGAUCACCGUAAUGAUUAAUAGGGAUAGUUGGGGGCAUUAGUAUUCAAUUGUCAGAGGUGAAAUUCUUGGAUUUAUUGAAGACUAACUACUGCGAAAGCAUUCGCCAAGGAUGUUUUCAUUAAUCAAGAACGAAAGUUAGGGGAUCGAAGACGAUCAGAUACCGUCGUAGUCUUAACCAUAAACUAUGCCGACUAGGAAUCAGACGAUGUUAAUUUUUUAAUGACUCAUUCGGCGCCUUACGGGAAAC